UACAGAGGUCUCAAGCGUUGUUCGGAUUCAUUGGGCGUAAAGGGCGCGUAGGCGGCGGGGGAAGUCGGGGGUGAAAUCUCAGAGCUCAACUCUGAAACCGCACUCGAUACUGCUCUGCUUGAGGACUGGAGAGGAGACUGGAAUUCACGGUGUAGCAGUGAAAUGCGUAGAUAUCGUGAGGAAGACCAGUGGCGAAGGCGGGUCUCUGGACAGUUCCUGACGCUGAGGCGCGAAGGCCAGGGGAGCAAACGGG
rnacentral:rRNA from 1 species